rnacentral:rRNA from 1 species
UACGAAGGGGGCGAGCGUUGUUCGGAUUUACUGGGCGUAAAGGGCGCGCAGGCGGCUAUUUUUGUCAGGCGUGAAAUCCCCGGGCUCAACCUGGGAAUUGCGCAUGAUACUGCGGGGCUUGAAGACGGGAGAGGAUGGCGGAAUUCCCAGUGUAGAGGUGAAAUGCGUAGAUAUUGGGAGGAACACCGGUGGCGAAGGCGGCCAUCUGGCCCGAAAUUGACGCUGAGGCGCGAAAGCGUGGGGAGCAAACAGG